rnacentral:lncRNA from 1 species
AUUUUCAUUUAAGGGGGUUCGCGGGUCUAAAUCAUUUAUAUAGGAUAUCUCUAUAUUUUUCUAUAAAUAAACUUUAUCUUAUAGUUAAUAGAAAAAUAAAAUAAAAAAGUGGGGUCAUCGUUCAUUUGCGCUCACAAUCUGCCUUCGAAAGAAGCAUACAUUUUUGUAAAGAUGGUUUUUUCUGUUGAAGUAAUAGGAGAAAUAAAGGUAAUAUCGAAAUAAAAAAAGAAAUUUAUAACAGAAAUCGCUCAAAUUUUACAAUAAUUUAGUUUAAGUACAGCUUAUAUGGAAAUUAUAUUAAAAAAUAUAGGUCACCGGUGAGUUAAAAAAGAUAUUUC